rnacentral:rRNA from 1 species
UAAGAAUCUUCCGCAAUGGGGGAAACCCUGACGGAGCGACGCCGCGUGGACGAUGGAGGCCGUAAGGUUGUAAAGUCCUUUUCCUGGUGAAGAAUGACUGUGGGAGUGGAAAGCCCAUGGGAUGACGUUAGCCAGGGAAUAAGCCCCGGCCAAUUACGUGCCAGCAGCCGCGGUAAUACGUAUGGGGCAAGCGUUGUUCGGAGUUAUUGGGCGUAAAGGGCGUGUAGGCGGCUCAUCAAGUCUGGUGUGAAAAUGCAGGGCCUAACCCUGCAGAUGCGCUGGAAACUGGUGGGCUUGAGUUCCUGAGGGGAAGCUGGAAUUCCAGGUGUAGGGGUGAAAUCUGUAGAUAUCUGGAAGAACACCGGUGGCGAAGGCGAGCUUCUAUCAGAGGACUGACGCUGAGGCGCGAAAGCGUGGGGAGCAAAC